CCUACGGGAGGCAGCAGUAAGGAAUAUUGGACAAUGGUGGCAACACUGAUCCAGCCAUGCCGCGUGCAGGAUGACGGUUCUAUGAAUUGUAAACUGCUUUUAUACGGGAAAAACCCUCAAGACGUGAUUUUGAGCUGAUUGUACCGUAAGAAUAAGGAUCGGCUAACUUCGUGCCAGCAGCCGCGGUAAGACGAAGGAUCCAAGCGUUAUCCGGAUUUAUUGGGUUUAAAGGGUGCGUAGGCGGACUCAUAAGUCAGUGGUGAAAUCCCAAAGCUUAACUUUGGAACUGCCAUUGAUACUGUAAGUCUUGAGUAUGUUUGAAGUGGGCGGAAUGUAUUGUGUAGCGGUGAAAUGCUUAGAUAUAAUACAGAACACCAAUUGCGAAGGCAGCUCACUAAACCAUAACUGACGCUGAGGCACGAAAGCAUGGGGAGCAAACAGGAUUAGAUACCCUGGUAGUCCAUGCCCUAAACGAUGAAUACUCGAUAUGUGNGAUAUACAGUACGUGUCGUAAGACGAAAGACGAUUAAGUUAAGUUAACCUACCGUCGGGGUUAGGGUUACGGUCGUUCGCGAAGAAGUUAGAAACGUUAAAAGGUUAAAAGUUAGUUACGGCGUUGAGGACGUUAGCCGACGGACGACCGACGAGGGGAAGGUUAAGGAG
rnacentral:rRNA from 1 species